rnacentral:rRNA from 1 species
UACGUAGGGUGCAAGCGUUGUCCGGAAUUAUUGGGCGUAAAGAGCUCGUAGGCGGUUCGUCGCGUCGGCUGUGAAAUCCCGAGGCUCAACCUCGGGUCUGCAGUCGAUACGGGCGGACUGGAGUACUGCAGGGGAGACUGGAAUUCCUGGUGUAGCGGUGAAAUGCGCAGAUAUCAGGAGGAACACCGGUGGCGAAGGCGGAUCUCUGGGCCAUUACUGACGCUGAGGAGCGAAAGCGUGGGGAGCGAACAGG